rnacentral:rRNA from 1 species
GACGAACGCUGGCGGCGUGCUUAACACAUGCAAGUCGAACGGAAAGGCCCUGCUUUUGUGGGGUGCUCGAGUGGCGAACGGGUGAGUAACACGUGAGUAACCUGCCCUUGACUUUGGGAUAACUUCAGGAAACUGGGGCUAAUACCGGAUAGGAGCUCCUGCUGCAUGGUGGGGGUUGGAAAGUUUCGGCGGUUGGGGAUGGACUCGCGGCUUAUCAGCUUGUUGGUGGGGUAGUGGCUUACCAAGGCUUUGACGGGUAGCCGGCCUGAGAGGGUGACCGGCCACAUUGGGACUGAGAUACGGCCCAGACUCCUACGGGAGGCAGCAGUGGGGAAUAUUGCACAAUGGGCGGAAGCCUGAUGCAGCAACGCCGCGUGCGGGAUGACGGCCUUCGGGUUGUAAACCGCUUUCGCCUGUGACGAAGUGUGAGUGACGGUAAUGGGUAAAGAAGCACUGGCUAACUACGUG